rnacentral:rRNA from 1 species
CCUACGGGUGGCAGCAGUGGGGAAUAUUGCACAAUGGGGGAAACCCUGAUGCAGCGACGCCGCGUGAGUGAAGAAGUAUUUCGGUACGUAAAGCUCUAUCAGCAGGGAAGAAAAUGACGGUACCUGACUAAGAAGCCCCGGCUAACUACGUGCCAGCAGCCGCGGUAAUACGUAGGGGGCAAGCGUUAUCCGGAUUUACUGGGUGUAAAGGGAGCGUAGACGGCAGCGCAAGUCUGGAGUGAAAUCCCAUGGCUUAACCAUGGAACUGCAUUUGAAACUGUAGUUCUUGAGUACUGGAGAGGCAGACGGAAUUCCUAGUGUAGCGGUGAAAUGCGUAGAUAUUAGGAGGAACACCAGUGGCGAAGGCGGUCUGCUGGACAGCAACUGACGCUGAGGCGCGAAAGCGUGGGGAGCAAACAGGAUUAGAUACCCGGGUAGUC